rnacentral:rRNA from 1 species
GAUGAACGCUAGCGGGAGGCCUAACACAUGCAAGCCGAGCGGUAUUUCUUCUUCGGGAGAGAGAGAGCGGCGUACGGGCGGGAACACGUGUGCAACCUGCCUUUAUCUAGAGGAUAGCCUUUCGAAAGGAAGAUUAAUACUCUAUAAUAUAUUAAUUGGCAUCAAUUGAUAUUGAAAACUCCGGUGGAUAGAGAUGGGCACGCGCAAGAUUAGCUAGUUGGUGAGGUAACGGCUCACCAAGGCAAUGAUCUUUAGGGGGCCUGAGAGGGUGAUCCCCCACACUGGUACUGAGACACGGACCAGACUCCUACGGGAGGCAGCAGUGAGGAAUAUUGGUCAAUGGGUGCAAGCCUGAACCAGCCAUCCCGCGUGAAGGAUUAAGGUCCUAUGGAUUGUAAACUUCUUUUGUAUAGGGAUAAACCUACCCUCGUGAGGGUAGCUGAAGGUACUAUACGAAUAAGCACCGGCUAACUCCGUGCCAGCCGCCGCCGUAACAC